rnacentral:rRNA from 1 species
AUGAACGCUAGCUACAGGCUUAACACAUGCAAGUCGAGGGGCAGCAUGGUCUUAGCUUGCUAAGGCCGAUGGCGACCGGCGCACGGGUGAGUAACACGUAUCCAACCUGCCGUCUACUCUUGGACAGCCUUCUGAAAGGAAGAUUAAUACAAGAUGGCAUCAUGAGUCCGCAUGUUCACAUGAUUAAAGGUAUUCCGGUAGACGAUGGGGAUGCGUUCCAUUAGAUAGUAGGCGGGGUAACGGCCCACCUAGUCUUCGAUGGAUAGGGGUUCUGAGAGGAAGGUCCCCCACAUUGGAACUGAGACACGGUCCAAACUCCUACGGGAGGCAGCAGUGAGGAAUAUUGGUCAAUGGGCGAGAGCCUGAACCAGCCAAGUAGCGUGAAGGAUGACUGCCCUAUGGGUUGUAAACUUCUUUUAUAAAGGAAUAAAGUCGGGUAUGGAUACCCGUUUGCAUGUACUUUAUGAAUAAGGAUCGGCUAACUCCGUGCCAGCAGCCGCGGUAAUACGGAGGAUCCGAGCGUUAUCCGGAUUUAUUGGGUUUAAAGGGAGCGUAGAUGGAUGUUUAAGUCAGUUGUGAAAGUUUGCGGCUCAACCGUAAAAUUGCAGUUGAUACUGGAUAUCUUGAGUGCAGUUGAGGCAGGCGGAAUUCGUGGUGUAGCGGUGAAAUGCUUAGAUAUCACGAAGAACUCCGAUUGCGAAGGCAGCCUGCUAAGCUGCAACUGACAUUGAGGCUCGAAAGUGUGGGUAUCAAACAGGAUUAGAUACCCUGGUAGUCCACACGGUAAACGAUGAAUACUCGCUGUUUGCGAUAUACUGCAAGCGGCCAAGCGAAAGCGUUAAGUAUUCCACCUGGGGAGUACGCCGGCAACGGUGAAACUCAAAGGAAUUGACGGGGGCCCGCACAAGCGGAGGAACAUGUGGUUUAAUUCGAUGAUACGCGAGGAACCUUACCCGGGCUUAAAUUGCAGAUGAAUUACGGUGAAAGCCGUAAGCCGCAAGGCAUCUGUGAAGGUGCUGCAUGGUUGUCGUCAGCUCGUGCCGUGAGGUGUCGGCUUAAGUGCCAUAACGAGCGCAACCCUUGUUGUCAGUUACUAACAGGUUCCGCUGAGGACUCUGACAAGACUGCCAUCGUAAGAUGUGAGGAAGGUGGGGAUGACGUCAAAUCAGCACGGCCCUUACGUCCGGGGCUACACACGUGUUACAAUGGGGGGUACAGAGGGCCGCUACCACGCGAGUGGAUGCCAAUCCCCAAAACCUCUCUCAGUUCGGACUGGAGUCUGCAACCCGACUCCACGAAGCUGGAUUCGCUAGUAAUCGCGCAUCAGCCAUGGCGCGGUGAAUACGUUCCCGGGCCUUGUACACACCGCCCGUCAAGCCAUGGGAGCCGGGGGUACCUGAAGUGCGUAACCGCGAGGAGCGCCCUAGGGUAAAACUGGUGACUGGGGCU